CAGCGGCACAAAGACACCAUUCUAGACUGCCCCCUGACCAGCAGACGGGAGGGAAGCGAAGGCGGAAGGAAGGGCCCUUCACCAACAGAACCGCCAGCUGCCCUCUGACGGUGCCCUUCCCAUGGCCGCCAAGCCCCAGGGUGACCUGUCACCAGGGUCUGCCAGGAAGCAAUAAGGAGGGGAUUUUGCCAGAAGGCUGGGAAGGGCCUCCAGGGAAGGCGUGGUGGAGGCUAGGAGAGCGGGUUCACAGGGCAGGGUGUCCCUGGGCCAGGCUGUCGGCUGCCCGAGGGGGCCCGAGUGCCCUGGGGAGGCCUCUCUCAGGAAGGUGAGCCAAGGCUCUGUCCUGGAGGGCUGCCUCGUGGAGGAGGAGGAGCGAGCGGCAGACAGGAAGACGACCAGCACUUCCCUCCUGGGACUCGGAGAGCAGAUGAGUGGCGGUGGACGUCCAACCCCGGAGCCUCCCAGCAGUGCGCAGACCAGGAGGCCGAGGGGUCAGGGGACCUCUGAGGUGCACACAGGGUUCCCAACCAUUCCCAUGUGCCUGGAGCUGGACCCAGGAUCUCAGUGCUAAACCAGCCCCAUCCCAGGACGAGGGGGAUGAGCUGGUCACCCUUGGAAGCACCCAAGGUUAGGUGGCAAAGGCAAACUGGGGAUGAGGACUUCAACCUGACAGGAAGGGAAGGCAGAACCCUGGAAACGGAGAUGUUCAAAAAUAAACGCCGAUGCAACACUC